UACGUAGGGUGCAAGCGUUGUCCGGAAUUAUUGGGCGUAAAGAGCUCGUAGGCGGCUUGUCGCGUCGGCUGUGAAAACCUGGGGCUCAACCCCCGGGCCUGCAGCCGAUACGGGCAGACUGGAGUUCGGCAGGGGGAGACUGGAAUUCCUGGUGUAGCGGUGAAAUGCGCAGAUAUCAGGAGGAACACCGGUGGCGAAGGCAGGUCUCUGGGCAUUAACUGACGCUGAGGAGCGAAAGCAUGGGGAGCGAACAGG
rnacentral:rRNA from 1 species